CUCUGCAUCUAAGCACCUUAGGAUUGUUGAAGUCAAAUGUAAUGGGAACGAUGAGAUGGUCCGUGAAGUUCCAAAGGUCUUAAGUUCUUGGGGUGUCCCUUCUGACCAAGUUAAUGUCCAACAUCGAAAUCUCCAUCUAGCAGUAAGAUAACUACUGUCACUAUUGAUUCUCCCUUUAUUUUUUAAUCUUAGUUUGAGAAGGCCUCGCCAAUGAUUAUACUCCUGCAUAAAAUAAAAAUUUCAACCUGCCUUUUACUUUUGUUUGUACCUUCUUUUACUGAUAUCAACAUCCGCUUAAAAAAAAGUGUGCUACUAUGUAAUACCUACUUGUUGAUUAUCAAAUUGAGAAUGCAAAUGCUUGUAAUAAAUAUUUACCAUGGCUAAUUAUCAGGUAAUAGUAAGCUUUUAUAUCAAAUAAUAAAUGGAAUUUCUGAAUGAAUUCAUGUAGGUAAGAAAUGCACCUAACUUUACAAUGAUUAGAUCAAGUCGAAAGUUUACUAUUGUGAUCACAAUAUUUUUAGUGUUCUUCACAGAUUUCCUGUGGUACGACCCAUCCUUUUAUUUUCCGGGAAGAGUAUUGCCUUUUAACUUGUGAAGACCAGGUUGUGUUGCAUACCACAGAGCCUACACCAUUCUGGUAUGACAAGGAAGUAUCAAGGUAUUCAAGAAGGUGAGAUAAUUCUCGAGAAGACAUGGAAGGGAGAAGAAGGCCCAAUCCAUUGCCUUUUCAAAUCUGUUUCUCCUCUCUCAGUUUGGCCAGAAGUAGCCACAUAUCAGAUAUGGGUGGUUGUUUAUGUCAGGGACUGUCCCUUGUAGUGUGAUUCUUUGUAGAAUUGGGAGCGCUGCCUGGAUUCAACAGUGAGUCAUUGCAGUACUCUUCCAGCUGUCCAUUUUGGUUCAUGUUUGGUAACUGGAACAGUGGUUAACUCGAUCUUGUUGGACAACUGAAGUAUCCCCAAUCAUUCCUUCCCCUGUUUCCCAUCUGAGUAGGUUAUCUAUCAACUAUACAAGUGUUAUGG
rnacentral:lncRNA from 1 species